GUCAGUUCAAGGUAAACUGGAGGUUCAAUUGGGAUGCAAUGAAGAGCCCCUGACAAGCAUAUUCUUCAAAGCCUCCCAUGGUGUAACUGAAGAUACGAUAUGUGAAGUAGCCCUAGCUUGCCUGCUCAAGUCUUCAAAGCCCAAAGACAACUGCUGGAAUGAAAUGCAACCUAUAGGACUGAUGGAAGAAUUGCUACCUGGACUUUCAAAUGGCAUGAAAAUAUAUGGAC